rnacentral:rRNA from 1 species
AUGGUAGGAUAGAGGCCUACCAUGGUGGUAACGGGUAACGGGGUGUUAGGGCACGACACCGGAGAGGGAGCCUGAGAAACGGCUACCACAUCCAAGGAUGGCAGCAGGCGCGCAAAUUACCCAAUCCCGACACGGGGAGGUAGUGACAAUAAAUAACAAUACGGGGUUCUUUAGGAUCUCGUAAUUGGAAUGAGUACAAUUUAAAUCUCUUAACGAGGAACAAUUGGAGGGCAAGUCUGGUGCCAGCAGCCGCGGUAAUUCCAGCUCCAAUAGCGUAUAUUAAAGUUGUUGCAGUUAAAAAGCUCGUAGUUGAAUUUCGGGGUCAGUAGGUCGGUCGUGCCACUGGUAUGAACUGGUUUUACUGAUUCCUCCCUCUUGAAGAACUGUAAUGCCAUUAAUUUGGUGUUGCAGGGAAUCAGGACUGUUACUUUGAAAAAAUUAGAGUGUUUAAAGCAGGCUUUAGCUUGAAUACAUUAGCAUGGAAUAAUGAAAUAGGACGUUUGAUCCUAUUUUGUUGGUUUCUAGGAUUGACGUAAUGAUUAAUAGGGAUAGUUGGGGGCAUUAGUAUUCAAUUGUCAGAGGUGAAAUUCUUGGAUUUAUUGAAGACUAACUACUGCGAGAGCAUUUGCCAAGGAUGUUUUCAUUAAUCAAGAACGAAAGUUAGGGGAUCGAAGACGAUCAGAUACCGUCGUAGUCUUAACCAUAAACUAUGCCGACUAGGGAUCGGAUGAUGUUAAUUUUUUAAUGACUCAUUCGGCGCCUUACGGGAAACCAAAGUGUUUGGG